GAUGAUCUGUUCAGAAUGACCCUAACAAGCUUUUUUCCUGAAUUUCCUGGAAUUAAGCAACAGUCAUGUGAAAAAGUUAGGACAGCCUAUAAAAGUUUGUAUAUUUUCCCAAAUAUUUGGAGACAUACACAUUUGAUCCAAUUGAUAUAACUUAACAUUAAGAAACUUUCUAUAAAAAGUAAUUUUUAAAAGUUUAGACAAAAGUAAUCUCUAAAUUUAGACACAUUUAAGGUCUAUUUUAUGUCUGUUUAGAUGCCACAGAACUGUCUUAAUGACGCAAUUUCAGCCAAAGGAGCAAAAAUAGUUAAUAGGAGGCUCAAGCUUUGGCGCCGCUUUUCUUUUUCAGAAUCUACUGGAAUUACAUUGAUCGCAUUAACAAUUGAAAAGUUACAGUAAAUCAAAGAACAUAAAUACUGGAGCUCCGGGGUUGAUGGGUUAACUCGUUUUUGAAGGUGAUUUUUGAUUGUCUCAGAUUGGUCCAUAUUUUGUUUACCUGAAUUGAAACAUAAAUGUCCAUCAAUUUUGUCCUGAAUUUUGGCAAAGAGAAAAUCUGGCAUCUUUUUAAACAAUGUUUUUUUUUUCUUUAAUUUUUUUGUAUAUUGCAAAAUUUAGCAGGAAAAGAGCCAUUUAGGCUAGUUUUCUACUGAUCAAAACCUAGAAGGAGCAGCGUAGAAUAGAAUAGAAUAAUUUAUUAUUAGGGACUCGAGGUCCAAAUAACACUAUAAAAAAACAAACAGAUAUUCAUACAAAAAAUGUCAGCAGUCUUACACUGCUGGGUUUUGUUAUUUUAAUUUGGGGUUGGAUCUUGGUAGUCUUAGUUUGCGGGCUUUGUUUAUUUGUUUUCUUAAGGUAGUUUUGGUUAACGAGCUGCUGACUCCAAUGGUAGACAUGAUACGAUUCUGAUACGUAAUGUAAGUACAUUUUUAUCUUAAAAUGUCAGUAUGUUUAAUUAACUGAAUAAUGUAUUGGAUGUAUAUAUGUAGUUACUGCCAAUGAUGAUUCUUAUUGCCAUUUUCUGUACCAUUAAAGUAAAUUUUUCCAAAUUUCAAUCCCCUAAUUUCGAUGUGCCUCCUUAAGCUCUUGAAUCCUUUGCGUUUUAUCCACAAUGUGUUCCAAAUUCCAUUAACAUCUCCCUCUUACAUCAAUUUUUAAGUGAAAGGGAUUUCUGUGCUUCCUUUGCUCCUGAUGGAUCGGGUUUUAGAGAUGUGCGGUACGUUCCUUCUCAUUUCCAGCUCUCUGCGUCUCUGCGCCGUGCCCAGUGGAUGUUUAUCCACGGCUCUGAGCUCUCGGCUCUCAGUGGACCGGGCCUUCCACCAAUCACUCUCUGCUCGAAUACCAACACAUAAACAGACAGAAGCAGCUCGUGCAAGAGCGAGAAAGCGAAAAUGUCAGUCUUUUGUUUUUAUUCAAAUAUGAGGUUUAAAAGAAAAUGUUUUCUUGACCUCAAACUGUUCCUGCAUUCUGUCACCCAGGAGAAACUCAUAAAAGCUCUUAAAAAGAGAUAUUUGGCAGAACUUUUUUUUUUUUUUAGCCGAAUCAAAAAAAAAAAAAGACUGACUGCAAUAACAGCUCUGUGUGCAAGUCCUCCCCUCUGCAGAAUGGUGCUGCAGUUCAGACAUCUUGACUGACAGCUUCCCCUGCUAUGCAGUUUCCAGCUCCGUUUGAUGUUUUCCACACGCUGCAUCCGUGUUAUCCGACAUGACUUCCACAACAUUGUUUGAGGUCUGUGAUGCAAGGUUGCAGUUUUCCUAAUCUUUGCUCAGGAUUGAGGGGGGAAAAAAACCUAUUUGCAUGUGAAUUACCUUUCCCCUCGUUUCUGAUGUCAGGAAGGGAUAGUACGCACGGAAAGAGGGCGGGAGAACAGUACAUCUCCUUUGAGGAAAUAAAAAACAAAAAAA